rnacentral:rRNA from 1 species
UACGAAGGGGGCUAGCGUUGCUCGGAUUGACUGGGCGUAAAGGGCGCGUAGGCGGCUUGUACAGUCAGACGUGAAAUUCCUGGGCUCAACCUGGGGGCUGCGUUUGAUACGUAUGGGCUUGAGUUCGGAAGAGGGUCGUGGAAUUCCCAGUGUAGAGGUGAAAUUCGUAGAUAUUGGGAAGAACACCGGUGGCGAAGGCGGCCAUCUGGCCCACAUUUGACGCUGAGGCGCGAAAGCGUGGGGAGCAAACAGG